UGUUUACGUAUUUAGAUCUGUGAUUCCAGGAUCCUGCACUGUUUGUUGGAUCUUAUUUUCUCUUCUGAUCAUCCUUGCAGCAGCAGCAGCAGCAGCAGUGUGGUAUCUUUAUAAAGCUGAGAAACUGCCAUGUUUUGGUUCAAGGGGAGACCUGUUCACACGUAGGGACAUCAAGACGGGGAUGGAGGGUCAAAGAAUGCAAGUGAGCUCAGACCCUCCAGAAGCAGAAGAACCGGGAGUAUGAUAUCCAUGGUCGGGGAUUUACAGGCUCCACCUGUGCUACACGUGAGUUCAUCCAGGGAACCGGUGCAACAGCUCAGGUGCCGUGUAUCUGUUAAAGGGAUAGUCCACACAAAUGGAAAUUCACUCUCUCACCACUAUGCCGUUGGAGGGGGGGGGGUGUAAGGUUUGGAGAAGAUCAUGCAGCACAUUUAAAUGAGCUCACAGUCCCAACUUGCACUGACAAAUCAGAGGAAGCAGCACUUUACAAUUUCUAUACGUACGUUGUAGUUAUGUCGUUUAUUUUUUCCUUGUUUAAUAUAAAAGUAAUUUUGAUUACAGUAAUAAAUUCAGAGUUGAAGCUAUAAAAGACAUGUAUAAUAAUACAUAAAUGAACUAUAAAUGAAAUAAUACAAAAGUCAAAACCAGAUACAUAAAAUACAAAAACCAGAUACUCAAUUAUAUGAUAAUGUUGCAAUGUCACUGUUGAGUAGUUACAAUAAAAGAUAUCGUAAGUCAGUGCCAUAAGCUGCUCAACUGAAGCUGGAUAAGAGUAUUUAUGUUAGUUAAAUUUAAUAUAUUUUUGAUWUUAAUCUGCGGUGGCUGAGGGGGAAGAGCGAUAGAGCAGUCUAUUAUAUACACAUUAUUAUUCUGCUAAUAGAUGAGUGUGAAUGGGUGAAUGACAAUGGCUUUGAGUGGUCAUCACUGGAAAUGCUAUAUAAAUAAAACCAUUUGACCUUGGGCACUCUCACCUGAGGACCUCCCACCUUUGGAGCCAUGGGUGCUACUACUGCACAUGUUGGACCAUGAGGGAGGCAGGACUGCCCGGGGGGACCACCGCACCCUUGGGAGACCAUGCAAAUGUCCAUGUGGAGAUUCCCGGGCUGGAUUCAAGCCCUUGACCUGACACUGUGACUCAACCUCCCCCUUUAUUUCCUUUUGUUCCCCUGUAUUACUUGUUCUUUCUCCAUCACCCCAACCGGUCCUGGCAGAGGCCGUCCACACCGAGCCCGGUUCUGCCAGAGGUUUCUUCCACCUGGGAGUUUUUCCUCCCCGCUGUUGCUCAUGCUAGCUCAGUGUGGAACAAGUUGGUUUUUGUGUUUCUUAAGAUCUUGGACUUUUGUGCAGCACCCUGAGACAACUGUUUGAUGUGAUACCGACGAUAUAUAAAUACAUUUGAUUGAUUGAUUUGAUGGUUGUGGCAUCUUUAGCUGGUUGGCAUGCUAGCAUUUGAAGUUAUCAGUGUUUAACUGACACAGUAUGGAGCCACUGCGUGGUUAUGUGUGCACUACUGAUUCUUUUGUAAUCUAUAAUCAACUAACUAUUCAAAUCCUGUUUUAUUUUAAAGGCUGAAAGCAUUUGUGUAUGUCUUAAGAAAAGAAGUGACCUCAUCAAUCAAGUGCUGAAAUGUGUUUUGCUCCUUGCUUGCCUUUUAUAUUAAACAUUUUAUAUCUAUCACUUUUUUCAUUGGUUGUUUUUAAGUUACAUCUCCUGUUGACUAAAGCACUA